GGCGGGAAUUCGUGACCUUAUUGUUAGCAUUGUUUGUGACCCCAUCGGAUUUCCUUGCUACGCGAAGUUAAUACUGUACAUGAUGGACUUUGAGGAAGAGUUGAUGAGUGCUGAUGAGCUUCUUGAAAGCUUACGAGCUCAAGAGGCGACACUAGUUAAAAGCUCUAAGCAACCUCCACCUUCAACACCAACUGUUCAGUGGAGAAAAAGAGACAGCUAAGGUGAAGUUAUUUACAAACAUUCAAGGGCCAGAAGAGCAACUGUAAAAAGAAAAAGUGGCCACCACAACAAAAAUUCUGCUGGUCCACUUGUUCCUGAAAAUGAUGUUGGCCCUGCAGAAGCCUGUGUAACAGCUGAUGGUAUUCUUGAAUAGCUACACAGGCUGUUGGACACUCAGGAGGAUGAUGCUAAUGAUAUCCUCAUUCAAGAUCAUCAUACUCCUUCUGCAUCCAAUGACUGGGCCAUCAGAAC